UUUGAGAUGAGGGGUAUGGGUCUCCUCUUUCCCCCCAUCAUUUCUUAUCCGGACGUAAAUAAAAGUUGGUAAACGGUGGCCCUAUUAAAAAGUUGAAUUCCCAGACAGAGGGAACAUCACACAGACCGCGCUCCUGGAAGAAAGUGCAUUGCUAUUCAUAGUCGCGCUUUAAACGGGGAAAAGUGUCAUCGCGUGGUGCGAAUUGCGAGGAUAUUCGAGAGAUUCUUCGCGGAUUUGUUUAUUCUUCGCCCUUGCUCCACUUCCUCCCCCCUCACCUCCCCUCCCCACCCCCGGUUUUAAGCCGUUGACGGGGAGCCACGAGGCCCUUGAGUAUGAUUUGAAGACUGAGAUGGAGAUGAGAUUUGAGAAAAAAUGUGCAGAGGUACGAUUCUUUUCCUUCUUCUUCCUCCUUUUCUUCCUAUUCUUCUUCCUCCCCUGAAACCUGACAGUCACGACUCUUUGGUCUGAAAUUUAUGUUCGGUUUUAUACAUUUCAAACAUCAUAUAUCAUAGAUGAAAAAGCACAGUCUAAGGGUUGUAUCCCUAAGUGUGAUUUGAAGACUGUGAUGGAGAUGAGAUUUAAGGAAAAAUUUGCAGAGAUGUAAUUCACGACCGGUUUCCGUAUAUUUCGUAGCAGCCACAGUCAGACAGCUUGUCUGACAAGCUGAUCUUAAUUUGCGAGUUUUAGAUUGACGCACAAAUACGAAAUUUUUUAAAUACUGCAAAUUGCUGGGAGUUUGGAUGACGCAUUUGCAUUAAUCGUGAUUUAAGGAUUCUGGUUUCGACACAACGACGCGACAAAGCCUUCCUUCCAACUUUCUAUUACGAUAUGAACUCGUUUCUCGACAAUCUUGAGCGAUGAUAAAACCCCCAGCCAUUAAACUUAACGUGACUUUACUUCUACUUGAACCGAUCAAUAAUGCACACAUUUGCAUCGUCCAAGUUCGGAAAGAAACUAUAAUAAGUGGAUUGCCACGAUAGUGACAUCCAUUUGCACAAGGAAUUGACUCCCUUGGUAUUGAACUUGAUAAUGAAGACUUGACUCUUGGAUCCUGUCAACGUGAAAUAAACCGUCCCAAAUUCUU